CAACAUUCCGAAAGGAGUGCUAAUACCGGAUGUGAUCAUCGUGCCGCAUGGCAGGAUGAAGAAAGAUGGCCUCUACAAGUAAGCUAUCGCUAAAGGAUGGGCCUGCGUCUGAUUAGCUAGUUGGUAGUGUAACGGACUACCAAGGCGAUGAUCAGUAGCCGGUCUGAGAGGAUGAACGGCCACAUUGGGACUGAGACACGGCCCAAACUCCUACGGGAGGCAGCAGUGGGGAAUCUUCCGCAAUGGACGAAAGUCUGACGGAGCAACGCCGCGUGAGUGAUGAAGGAUUUCGGUCUGUAAAGCUCUGUUGUUUAUGACGAACGUGCAGUGUGUGAACAAUGCAUUGCAAUGACGGUAGUAAACGAGGAAGCCACGGCUAACUACGUGCCAGCAGCCGCGGUAAUACGUAGGUGGCGAGCGUUGUCCGGAAUUAUUGGGCGUAAAGAGCAUGUAGGCGGCUUAAUAAGUCGAGCGUGAAAAUGCGGGGCUCAACCCCGUAUGGCGCUGGAAACUGUUAGGCUUGAGUGCAGGAGAGGAAAGGGGAAUUCCCAGUGUAGCGGUGAAAUGCGUAGAUAUUGGGAGGAACACCAGUGGCGAAGGCGCCUUUCUGGACUGUGUCUGACGCUGAGAUGCGAAAGCCAGGGUAGCGAACGGGAUUAGAUACCCCGGUAGUCCUGGCCGUAAACGAUGGGUACUAGGU
rnacentral:rRNA from 1 species